rnacentral:lncRNA from 1 species
AACAAAUAAGACUGAGAGCUUAUUGAUUCACUCAGGAAUGCAGCACUGAAGCACUGCUCUGGGCCCAACUGCGACCUCUCCCAAGGUCACGCCUCCCUCUGCGCAUGAGCAUCCAGAGCCCUCAGAGUCUCCGGCAGUCACCAGUGUCGAGCUCCUAUCCACGGA